UAAACUUAAAACAUCACUUCUAAACCCUAAAUCAUCAACUCUAAACCCUAAACAACGAAACAUUCAAAUCUAAACCCUAAAACAUCAAAUGUAAACCCUAAACUCUAAAUAAUCAACUCUAAACCCUAAACUAUAAAACAUCAACUCUAAACCCUAAACCCCGAAACAUCAACUCUAAACCCUAAACUCUAAACCUUCAAAUCUAAACCCUAAAACAUAAACUCUAAAC
rnacentral:lncRNA from 1 species